GUAGCUCCCUGCGCAGGGCCGGUGGGCAGUGGAGGUGCUGAUCGCGCAGAAUCUGGUCCAAUAAAAGACCACCUUGUGGUCACCCACCUUGUGUGUCAGAAAUUAACAGCAUACAACCUGUCAGAGGUAUCCAAUUCUCCGAGAGCAAGUUUCCUUUUCAGAUACUGCUACAACACAGCGUCAGAACAAAAAGAGCACAAAGAAAAGUACUUAAUGUAGGCUCAAAACCUACAUACAAAGGAAAAAAAGUGAAGGACAUUAUUCUCUUGGAACUAAAGGAGAUAAAGAGGAAGACUCCAUUGUGGAGAACUUGAAGCAGGAGUGAAAGAGGAAAGGAGACUGGAGGAGAAGGAGGAUUACUUCAGACUGCUAUCAAGAGCAGCAAAGAAUACAUAUAGACUUCACCGCAGGAUAGAACAAAAAUAAGAGAGUGAAGGAAAGCAUUGAACAUGAAAAGGAAAUGAGACAGUUGAAAAUGAAGCAACACUGGACAGCCAUCUGUCAGAUGAUUAAAAAUGUUUGGAGAAUACAUGUUAGCCAGUACACUGGAAACAAAGUGUCAGUGCAGCCAGGCAUUGCCUACCACCAACACAUUAAGCCAAGCCACACCACAUGACAGAUAUGGCAUUAUUCUCAACAAACUUUAUGGAGUUAAGAUAAAGUAUCUUAGGAGGUCAUUAUAGUAACAAAUACAAAUGUGUAUGUAUUAUCAAGGGGUGGUAUAUAACUUUUAAGGGGGAUGCAAGACUAAUCUAAACAUUGGGAAAUGUUAUCCGCUUCAAACAACUUUUACAACAGUGGAAAAGAUAAGCUUGAACUUUUAGUUGAGUGGUAUUCUUAGGAAAUACUUGGGAAGAGAGAGAAUGUAAAUUACUCACUUCUAGAACUAUGCUUUUGAAGCUGCAGUUUGAAGAAAAACUUAUUAUCUGCCUGAUUACCUAUUCACAGUCUUUUCAAAGGCCCAAAUUGGGUAAUAGAAGGACUCACAGGGGAGGUAGUUCUAAUGUGGAUAGGAGAUAGCAGCUGGUGACCUCAGGAAAAAAACCUGUGUGGGGUUUGAAGAACUAAUCACCAGCCAGACCCAUUGUAGGAAUGAGAGUAAUCUCUGGUAAGCUUAUUAGCAUGUA